CACCAAUACUAUACUGAAAACACCAGUUCUCGUACGAUUACGAAGUUUAGCAUCAUCGGGUGUGGUCAGUAUUAGGGAGGGUGACCACCUGGGAACACAGUGUGCC